rnacentral:tRNA from 1 species
GCCCGGAUAGCUAAUUGGCAAAGCGGCGGUCUCAAAAACCGUGUCUCAUGCGGGUUCAAAUCCCGCUCCGGGUA